AUUGAACGCUGGCGGCAGGCCUAACACAUGCAAGUCGAGCGGAGCGGCGGACGGGUGAGUAAUGCCUAGGAAUCUGCCUGGUAGUGGGGGAUAACGUCCGGAAACGGGCGCUAAUACCGCAUACUAUCAGAUGAGCCUAGGUCGGAUUAGCUCGGUGGUGGGGUAAAGGCCUACCAAGGCGACGAUCCGUAACUGGUCUGAGAGGAUGAUCAGGCACAACGGAACUGGGACAAGGUCCAAGCGCCUACGGGAGGGAGGAGGGGGGAAUAUUGGAAAAAGGGCGGAAGGCUGAUCCAGCCAUGCCGCGUGUGUGAAGAAGGUCUUCGGAUUGUAAAGCACUUUAAGUUGGGAGGCGUUACCAACAGAAUAAGCACCGGCUAACUUCGUGCCAGCAGCCGCGGUAAUAC
rnacentral:rRNA from 1 species